rnacentral:ncRNA from 54 species
GCCGGGAUAGCUCAGUUGGUAGAGCA